rnacentral:rRNA from 1 species
ACUAAGCCAGUGGUGAACUCCACAUCCGCAUCCUUUGCUGAGGAUACGGUUAACGGAGCGAAAGCGACGUUCAACCGCAAAACAAGCAGAGGGGGCUUAGUGGUGGGGUGACUGCGUACCUUUUGUAUAAUGGGUCAGCGACUUAUAUUCUGUAGCAAGGUUAACCGUAUAGGGGAGCCGGAGGGAAACCGAGUCUUAACCGGGCGUUAAGUUGCAGGGUAUAGACCCGAAACCCGGUGAUCUAGCCAUGGGCAGGUUGAAGGUUGGGUAACACUAACUGGAGGACCGAACCGACUAAUGUUGAAAAAUUAGCGGAUGACCUGUGGCUGGGGGUGAAAGGCCAAUCAAACCGGGAGAUAGCUGGUUCUCCCCGAAAGCUAUUUAGGUAGCGCCUCGUGAAUUCAUCUCCGGGGGUAGAGCACUGUUUCGGCUAGGGGGCCAUCCCGGCUUACCAACCCGAUGCAAACUGCGAAUACCGGAGAAUGUUAUCACGGGAGACACACGGCGGGUGCUAACGUCCGUCGUGAAGAGGGAAACAACCCAGACCGCCAGCUAAGGUCCCAAAGUCAUGGUUAAGUGGGAAACGAUGUGGGAAGGCCCAGACAGCCAGGAUGUUGGCUUAGAAGCAGCCAUCAUUUAAAGAAAGCGUAAUAGCUCACUGGUCGAGUCGGCCUGCGCGGAAGAUGUAACGGGGCUAAACCAUGCACCGAAGCUGCGGCAGCGAACGUAUCACCCAAGACAACUUUACGGAGUUGACGAUUGACGGAGCGAAGCGACGUCAAAGCGUUCAUUAAAGUCGAGUUGGCUUAGGGAUACGUUCGUUGGGUAGGGGAGCGUUCUGUAAGCCUGUGAAGGUGUGUCGUGAGGCAUGCUGGAGGUAUCAGAAGUGCGAAUGCUGACAUAAGUAACGAUAAAGCGGGUGAAAAGCCCGCUCGCCGGAAGACCAAGGGUUCCUGUCCAACGUUAAUCGGGGCAGGGUGAGUCGACCCCUAAGGCGAGGCCGAAAGGCGUAGUCGAUGGGAAACGGGUUAAUAUUCCCGUACUUGGUGUUACUGCGAAGGGGGGACGGAGAAGGCUAUGUUGGCCGGGCGACGGUUGUCCCGGUUUAAGCGUGUAGGUGUGUGUUCCAGGUAAAUCCGGUUCACUUUAACACUGAGGCGUGACGACGAGGCACUACGGUGCUGAAGCAACAAAUGCCCUGCUUCCAGGAAAAGCCUCUAAGCAUCAGGUAACAUCAAAUCGUACCCCAAACCGACACAGGUGGUCAGGUAGAGAAUACCAAGGCGCUUGAGAGAACUCGGGUGAAGGAACUAGGCAAAAUGGUGCCGUAACUUCGGGAGAAGGCACGCUGACACGUAGGUGAAGUGAUUUACUCAUGGAGCUGAAGUCAGUCGAAGAUACCAGCUGGCUGCAACUGUUUAUUAAAAACACAGCACUGUGCAAACACGAAAGUGGACGUAUACGGUGUGACGCCUGCCCGGUGCCGGAAGGUUAAUUGAUGGGGUCAGCGCAAGCGAAGCUCCUGAUCGAAGCCCCGGUAAACGGCGGCCGUAACUAUAACGGUCCUAAGGUAGCGAAAUUCCUUGUCGGGUAAGUUCCGACCUGCACGAAUGGCGUAAUGAUGGCCAGGCUGUCUCCACCCGAGACUCAGUGAAAUUGAACUCGCUGUGAAGAUGCAGUGUACCCGCGGCAAGACGGAAAGACCCCGUGAACCUUUACUAUAGCUUGACACUGAACAUUGAGCCUUGAUGUGUAGGAUAGGUGGGAGGCUUUGAAGUGUGGACGCCAGUCUGCAUGGAGCCGACCUUGAAAUACCACCCUUUAAUGUUUGAUGUUCUAACGUGGACCCGUAAUCCGGGUUGCGGACAGUGUCUGGUGGGUAGUUUGACUGGGGCGGUCUCCUCCUAAAGAGUAACGGAGGAGCACGAAGGUUGGCUAAUCCUGGUCGGACAUCAGGAGGUUAGUGCAAUGGCAUAAGCCAGCUUGACUGCGAGCGUGACGGCGCGAGCAGGUGCGAAAGCAGGUCAUAGUGAUCCGGUGGUUCUGAAUGGAAGGGCCAUCGCUCAACGGAUAAAAGGUACUCCGGGGAUAACAGGCUGAUACCGCCCAAGAGUUCAUAUCGACGGCGGUGUUUGGCACCUCGAUGUCGGCUCAUCACAUCCUGGGGCUGAAGUAGGUCCCAAGGGUAUGGCUGUUCGCCAUUUAAAGUGGUACGCGAGCUGGGUUUAGAACGUCGUGAGACAGUUCGGUCCCUAUCUGCCGUGGGCGCUGGAGAACUGAGGGGGGCUGCUCCUAGUACGAGAGGACCGGAGUGGACGCAUCACUGGUGUUCGGGUUGUCAUGCCAAUGGCACUGCCCGGUAGCUAAAUGCGGAAGAGAUAAGUGCUGAAAGCAUCUAAGCACGAAACUUGCCCCGAGAUGAGUUCUCCCUGAGACUUAGAGUCUCCUGAAGGAACGUUGAAGACGACGACGUUGAUAGGCCGGGUGUGUAAGCGCAGCGAUGCGUUGAGCUAACCGGUACUAAUGAACCGUGAGGCUUAACCUUACA